UUGACGGGGCCCGCACAAGCGGAGGAACAUGUGGUUUAAUUCGAUGAUACGCGAGGAACCUUACCUGGGCUUAAAUGGGGAGUGACAGCUGUCGAAAGAUGGUUUCUUCGGACACUCUUCAAGGUGCUGCAUGGUUGUCGUCAGCUCGUGCCGUGAGGUGUCGGGUUAAGUCCCAUAACGAGCGCAACCCUUACCGUUAGCUACCAUCAGGUUAAGCUGGGGACUCUAGCGGGACUGCCACCGUAAGGUGAGAGGAAGGUGGGGAUGACGUCAAAUCAGCACGGCCCUUAUGUCCAGGGCUACACACGUGUUACAAUGGCCAGUACAAAGGGCAGCUACCGGGUGACCGGAUGCUAAUCUCUAAAGCUGGUCUCAGUUCGGAUCGAAGUCUGCAACCCGACUUCGUGAAGCUGGAUUCGCUAGUAAUCGCGCAUCAGCCAUGGCGCGGUGAAUACGUUCCCGGGCCUU
rnacentral:rRNA from 1 species